GGACUUAAGCAUAUCAAUAAGCGGAGGAAAAGAAACCAACAGGGAUUGCCCUAGUAACGGCGAGUGAAGCGGCAACAGCUCAAAUUUGAAAUCUGGCCCUCGGGUCCGAGUUGUAAUUUGUAGAGGAUGCUUUUGGUGCAGUGCCUUCCGAGUUCCUUGGAACAGGACGCCUUAGAGGGUGAGAGCCCCGUACGGUUGGACACUAAGCCUCUGUAAAGCUCCUUCGACGAGUCGAGUAGUUUGGGAAUGCUGCUCUAAAUGGGAGGUAAAUUUCUUCUAAAGCUAAAUACCGGCCAGAGACCGAUAGCGCACAAGUAGAGUGAUCGAAAGAUGAAAAGUACUUUGAAAAGAGGGUUAAAUAGCACGUGAAAUUGUUGAAAGGGAAGCGUUUAUGACCAGACCUUUGUCUGGCGGAUCAUCCGGUGUUCUUCACCGGUGCACUUCGCCAGGCUCAGGCCAGCAUCGAUUUCUGUAGGGGGAUAAAAACCAUGGGAACGUAGCUCUCUCCGGGGAGUGUUAUAGCCCUAGGUACAAUACCUUUACGGGGAUCGAGGUUCGCGCUUCUGCAAGGAUGCUGGCGUAAUGGUCAUCAACGACCCGUCUUGAAACACGGACCAAGGAGUCGAACAUUUAUGCGAGUGUUUGGGUGUUAAACCCUCACGCGUAAUGAAAGUGAACGGAGGUGAGAGCCCGUACGGGUGCAUCAUCGACCGAUCCUGAUGUCUUCGGAUGGAUUUGAGUAAGAGCAUAACUGUUCGGACCCGAAAGAUGGUGAACUAUGCGUGGAUAGGGUGAAGCCAGAGGAAACUCUGGUGGAGGCUCGCAGCGGUUCUGACGUGCAAAUCGAUCGUCAAAUCUGCGCAUGGGGCGAAAGACUAUCGACCAU
rnacentral:rRNA from 1 species